UACAGAGGGUGCGAGCGUUGUUCGGAAUUAUUGGGCGUAAAGGGCGCGUAGGCGGUGCGGUAAGUCACCUGUGAAAUCUCCUGGCUCAACUGGGAGCUUGCAGGCGAAACUGCCGUGCUGGAGUGUGGGAGAGGUGAGUGGAAUUCCCGUGUAGCGGUGAAAUGCGUAGAGAGUCGGAAAAGAACACCAACGGCGAAAGCACUCUGCUGGGCCGACACUGACACUGAGAGACGAAAGCUAGGGGAGCGAAUGGG
rnacentral:rRNA from 1 species